GUUGCCAGGGGUUGCCGGGGGCUAGGUGGUGAGGGAGGCCUGGCCGCCAGCGUCACCCCGCGCCUCACCCGACCAAGCCACCGCCGCCUGCACCCCCGCCGCAGCUCUCUCUACAUCCAGUAUUUUAGCGACAAAGUGCAUGUUCCCAUCAGAAAGAAAGAGCUUACCUUGGCUGUGACAACUAUUUUGCUUUCUUGGCACUCAAAGGCAGCUGUUUCUCUGACCCUGCUACAGAUGAACAGAUCAUAAGCCUCAAGAGCUUUAAGAUAUCAAGUCAUCCACCGUAUACGGACUUGGCGUGAACAACAAGUAGUUCACUAUGUCCACAAGAAUGAGGACGGACUGCAAGGUUUACGUCGGUAAUCUUGGAAACACAGAGGCUAAGCAUGAGCUAGAGUCAGCCUUUUCAAAAUAUGGACCCUUGGUGAAUGUUUGGGUGGCUCGUAACCCUCCUGGAUUUGCAUUUGUAGAAUUUGAGGACCCAAGAGAUGCUGAAGAUUCAGUUCGUGCUCUGGAUGGAACACGCCUAUGUGGUGUACGUGUGAAGGUGGAGAUGUCAACAGGACGUUCCCGACGUGACCGCUUCCACUCUCCUCCUCGCCGUGGUGGCGGUGGUGGAAGGAGGUCCAGGACUAUCUCGCCCAAAUUACUUCUUGUUCCACCACCACCAUCUACUCCUCCUACUGUUGCUACCACACCACCACCACCACCACCACCACGAACUCCAAAACCACCACCACCACCACCACCACCACAAGUACUUCCACCACCACCACCACUGCUAGCAGCAGCGUCAGCCCGCUUGUACAGUGGGCUUCCAGUAUUUGGUUAUAGGGGAUGUUGGAGUUCCUGUUGGGGGCUUCCUUCCAUGCAUCACCUGAUCCCACACUGGUGAUACACCUUCAAGUAUUUCUUUGGUUAUUGAAGAGCAGACAUUGUACUUCAAAAGGCAAAGAGUAGCAUUGUAUGCCAGAUCUGGGUAAGGUGGUGGACCCUAUUCAUCCGAACCUGGCAGAGGUGGUGGUGUGCAUCACGUUGCCUGAUGACCCUCCUACGGCGCGGCACCUCAUGGCACCCGGGCAGCCCUUAAGCGCUUCACGUGUCCUCUUCUCCCCGCCCAUCUGCGUCUACCCUCCGCCCAUCGCCCGCCCGCUGCCUGCGCACCGUCAGGCCUGCCCCCCCACCCACCAUCUUGGGUCUCUGACCCUCCAACGCUCGCUCCACUUUCUUACAUACAUCGCGCCUCGGCUCAUCAUUACGACCAUCCUGCUGUGACGGUCUCGGUCUCCACGUCGCUUUGGAGGUGGUCGAGGUCGCUCUCGUUCACGGUCUCCAAAGAGGUCACGCUCUCGCUCACCAAGGAGCCAGCUCUCGAACCACGACCUUUCGUCAUGACUUUAAACAUGUUUGUACUUGGGUCUGUAAGAAGUGUGCAUCAGAUCUGUGUCCUAAUGCUGAAAUGUUUACUAAAAAAUUUAAACAAUUCAUGACUUUAGUUUUAGUACCAACAAUAAAGUUUGUUUUAUUUUAUAUAUUGUUUUGUACUCUAUUCCCAUGUGCAAAUGACAUGUCAGGUCACAUGCAGGCCUAUGAUAUAAAUUUUUUGUUUAUUCCUUGCAUAAGUACGAAUCUCGAUAAUACAGUUUCUAGUGUGAAAUACUGUGUUAGUUGAGUUUAUAUUUUUUUCCAAAGUUUAUGCAGGCUUGUGUGAAUGUGCGUGAUAGGUGUACCUUUCUCAACACUAUUGUAAAAUUUAGUUAUAAUUAAUAGGAAGGUAAGGGGCAUUUCAAACUAGAAUAAGGAAUUAUGAACAAUAAAGUUUCACAAAUA
rnacentral:misc_RNA from 1 species